CCUACGGGUGGCAGCAGUAGGGCAUCUUUCACAAUGGGCGAAAGCCUGAUGCAGCAACGCCGCGUGCAGGAUGAAGGCCUUCGGGUUGUAAACUGCUUUUAUAAGCGAUGAAUAUGAUGGUAACUUAUGAAUAAGGAUCGGCUAACUACGUGCCAGCAGCCGCGGUCAUACGUAGGGGCCGAGCAUUAUCCGGAGUGACUGGGUGUAAAGAGUUGCGUAGGUGGCAUAAUAAGUAGCUAGUGAAAUCUGUUGGCUCAAACAUUCAGACUAUUAGGUAAACUGUUAAGCUCGAGACCGUGAGGGGUAAGCGGAAUUCCUAGUGUAGGAGUGAAAUGCGUAGAUAUUAGAAGGAACACCGAUAGCGUAGGCAGGUUACUGGGACGGUUCUGACGCUGAGGCACGAAAGCGUAGGGAGCAAACAGGAUUAGAUACCCCUGUAGUC
rnacentral:rRNA from 1 species